rnacentral:lncRNA from 1 species
CUUUUGUUUUAGUUGUUAAUCCAUUUAAGUUGUUUGACAUGACAUUUGUCUACGACCAUCCAUUUUUUAGUUGUAGCUUUCUUUUUAUGUGAGUUGUUUAAUCAACACUAUAAAAAAUUUAAGUCAAGUUAUAAACUUAGGAAUAUUUCUUUUUCCUUCAAAAUAUCCCAAAAAUUCAGCUUAUACUUCCAUUUUCAUCUGCAGCUUUCCUUUUCUGUUAGUUGUUAAUCCAUUUAUAUUUUUUGACAUGACAUUCAUAUUCAUUUUGGGGGGAAAAUAUCUGGUGGAUAUGAUGACACUUAUUUCUCUGUUGGGCUGCAAAUGGCUAAAAUUGUGAUUCUACUAUUUGUGUGUACAACUUUUGGAGAACAAAAUUUGUUUAGUUUUAGUAGAAGAAGGAUAGUAUACCAAGUGAAUGAUGAUGAUUUGUUGAGUGGAGUAUAAUAAUAAUGUAUGAUUAAUGAUUAUAGAUUUUUAGCUCUAGUCCAAUUUUAUGGCAUGUGCUACUGUUAGGUGAUUGGGAUAUGUGUUGUCUGUCCUACCUUCAUCAUAUGCCAGCUUUGUGUUUUUUCUUCACCAUGUGCUUGAUUCAGCCUUUUACAAUACAUCUUUGUGUGUUUUAUACGGAUCAAUUUGUUCAUGUUUUGUGCAAAUUGCUUUGCAUUUCUGCUGUUUUUUGGUAUUUUGUUGCUAAAAAUAUGGUUAUCUGUGUGAUGAAAUGUGUUGUCAUUUAUUCAACAACAUUGUCAACUAUGUCCUAUCGUUUUAUACAGAGAACUUUGUAGGUUAUUUUAUUAUAAAAGUCAACAGGGUGCACCUUGAAAUAGAGUUCUUUCUUUGAGAUCAAAUUGUGGUCCUUUUUUCAUAACAUUGUCAUUGUCUCCUUUACUAUUUCACCCCAGUGUUUUAGGCUCUCUGGAAGUUCCAACAUAUGUAGUGUAAUUGAUAAGGAAUUGGAUAUCAUUUCAAAAUCAAGUGUCAAAUAUCAAUUAAUGAAACUGGCUAAUAAGUGAAUUCCAAGUAAAUGUUUUUUGAUUUAGAAAUUUGGCUUUUUUGAAGUGAGUAGUUAAUAAAGUUAAGUCCUCCUAAGAGUUUUGAUGAUUUAGCUUAUUGUUGCUUUCGGUGCUUGUUGAACUCCCAAACAACUUACACAAACAAAUUCACAGUUAGAAGAUAUGUGUGGUUUAUGCCGGAUAUUCAACACAAAUGUGAUUGAGAAGGAACUAAUCAUAGUUCUUAUUGACUGAUUUAAUUGAGAUUCCUGAAGUUUUAUGUAAAUCUUUGUAUUAUUAAGAUGCAAUUGCAGGGAUUUUAGAACUGAAAUGGAGAAUUUUUUGCAUAUAAAAGGGCAUAGAACUAUACAGAAACACGUCAUUGGUUCAAUAAAUCCAUUUCCACAUGUUAAGAAUCAGGACAUAGUGACGAGUUCCUGAACUUCUAACUUCUAGGCAUUGUAAUAGCAUCUGUACAUCCAUUCUGACUUUGAUUACCUUUUUAAAACUGAAGACUGAUAACCAUUAAUUUGAAAAGUAAAUGAGCUAUAGUGUGUGUAGAUAGUAGUCAUCUACCCAUCAAUAUGUUCAUGUAAUAGCAUUUCUACAUCCUAUCAAUUUGUUCAUGUUUUGAUGAUUACAACCAACUUAAAUGUGAUGUAAUUGGAUUCUCUCAAUUUCAAUCUCUUUAUUUCUCUUCGUUACCUUCUCUUUCCUAGUACUUGUGAAAUAGUAUCUAUUGAGAGAUGUAAAUGGAGAGAUUAGUCUCAACUCAUGAAUCUCAACAAUGUGAGACUCAUAGUUCAAAUAAUAAGGGUGCUCAAACACAAAUGUUCAU